rnacentral:rRNA from 1 species
AUUGAACGCUGGCGGCAUGCUUUACACAUGCAAGUCGAACGGUAACAGGCCGCAAGGUGCUGACGAGUGGCGAACGGGUGAGUAAUGCAUCGGAACGUGCCCCGUCGUGGGGGAUAACGCAGCGAAAGCUGUGCUAAUACCGCAUACGAUCUCUGGAUGAAAGCGGGGGACCGAAAGGCCUCGCGCGAUUGGAGCGGCCGAUGUCAGAUUAGGUAGUUGGUGGGGUAAAGGCCUACCAAGCCAACGAUCUGUAGCUGGUCUGAGAGGACGACCAGCCACACUGGGACUGAGACACGGCCCAGACUCCUACGGGAGGCAGCAGUGGGGAAUUUUGGACAAUGGGCGCAAGCCUGAUCCAGCAAUGCCGCGUGCAGGAAGAAGGCCUUCGGGUUGUAAACUGCUUUUGUACGGAACGAAACGGUCUGGAUUAAUACCCUGGACUAAUGACGGUACCGUAAGAAUAAGCACCGGCUAACUACGUG